rnacentral:rRNA from 1 species
AUUGAACGCUGGCGGCGUGCCUAACACAUGCAAGUCGAGCGCGAACGUGACUUCGGUCACAAGUAGAGCGGCGCACGGGUGAGUAACACGUGGAUAAUCUACCCAUCAGUAUGGGAUAACAGUUGGAAACGACUGCUAAUACCUUAUACGAUCCAGAAACAUAUUUUGGGUGAAAGGCGGCCUCUGCUUGCAAGCUGUCGCUGAUGGAUGAGUCCGCGCCUCAUUAGGUAGACGGCGGGGUAACGGCCCACCGUGCCGACGAUGAGUAGCCGGCCUGAGAGGGUAAUCGGCCACACUGGGACUGGAACACGGCCCAGACUCCUACGGGAGGCAGCAGUGGGGAAUAUUGCGCAAUGGACGCAAGUCUGACGCAGCGACGCCGCGUGAGGGAUGAAGGCCUUCGGGUCGUAAACCUCUGUCAGGAGGGAAGAACGUUACAGGUGCUAAUCAGCCUGUAUUUGACGGUACCUCCAAAGGAAGCACCGGCUAACUCCGUGCCAGCAGCCGCGGUAAUACGGAGGGUGCGAGCGUUAAUCGGAAUCACUGGGCGUAAAGCGCGCGUAGGCGGCGAUGUAAGUAA